UACGUAGGGUGCAAGCGUUAAUCGGAAUUACUGGGCGUAAAGCGUGCGCAGGCGGUUAUGCAAGACAGAUGUGAAAUCCCCGGGCUCAACCUGGGAACUGCAUUUGUGACUGCACGGCUGGAGUGCGGCAGAGGGGGAUGGAAUUCCGCGUGUAGCAGUGAAAUGCGUAGAUAUGCGGAGGAACACCGAUGGCGAAGGACAAUCCCCUGGGCCUGCACUGACGCUCAUGCACGAAAGCGUGGGGAGC
rnacentral:rRNA from 1 species